CCACCUUCAAAGCUAAAACUAAGCACUACAAACAGAGUUGCCGAGUUUCGGAAAUCCUUUUCCCUGUGCCAGAGCCAGGCGAUGAGGCCACAAGGCACAAAAUUUUUUACAAGGGGAAAGCAGCGGUUUUGAUAAAAUUACCUAUAUCUUCUAAAAGCUCCGCACUUGCUAAAACGCAGAGGAGACAAAGCUGUGAUAUCAGAAAAUGCAAUAUCUACUAGAACAUAAAGCAAAGUCAGAAAAAAUAAAGAGCUAUGACAUUACAUAAAAAGAAUGAACUGCUUAAAUAACAAUGCAUGCCUUGGAACAAAAUGUAGUCAACAGUGCAUCACAUGCUCAACAGAGGGACAAGACAAAACUGAAAACAAAUGAAAUCGCAUCUUUCAUGCCACAGCCAUUCAAUGUCACUACACUUCAAUACUGUGUGCCUUUUCCUGAACCCACAUUGGGCCAGAAAUUCAAUACAAGUGAAAGAACAGCAGUUGAAGAACAGGGCAGCAACAACUGAAUUAACUAAGCACAAGACAGUAUGACACUGGCGCAAUGAAGAUUGCCAGUCAAAUAAGGUCGUUAAAACCUAAAAGCUUUUUCAAGAAACUACCACACCACUGGCCUUAACUCCGAUUUAGCCUGAAUUCCAAGAGUUCAGUGCUGACAAUGUCAGUUUCAAAGAGAGAGAACUGUGGCUCCCUUUCCAUCUUCCAACAGUCUGGUUUAAGGUAAAAUAAAUGUAUAGGUUCACACCAUUAUAGCCACUAUAACUGCUGCAUCAGUUACCAGACAUUUCAUUUCUGUCAUUUGGAACAACAUUAAAAAGAGCAGCCCAUGGCCUACUUUCGGACUUCGUAUAAAACAAAGGAAAGCUUCGCUAUUUAAAAGAACACUGGCAUCAUCGACAUAAAAAACUCAUCAUACACUGAUCUGAAGCAUUCAAUGUAACACUAUUUUGUGCUUGGGUUAAAUUUCUGUCUGGGCGCAUAUAAAUGAAAAAACAAUACUUUAGUAUUCCUUCAUCCAUAAAGAAUGGCAAAUAAAUUUAAGAGCACUGGUCCUAGAAACCUUUCCAUUUAGAGCUCUCACUGCAAUGCAUGUGCAUUAUUGAUGAGUUUUUGCCCAUUCCUGUACAUUUAUCUCACCUAAACUACAAAAG